rnacentral:rRNA from 1 species
UACGCAGGGGGCUAGCGUUGCUCGGAAUCACUGGGCGUAAAGGGUGCGUAGGCGGGAUCUUAAGUCAGAGGUGAAAGCCUGGAGCUCAACUCCAGAACUGCCUUUGAUACUGGGAUUCUUGAGUUCGGGAGAGGUGAGCGGAACUGCGAGUGUAGAGGUGAAAUUCGUAGAUAUUCGCAAGAACACCAGUGGCGAAGGCGGCUCACUGGCCCGAUACUGACGCUGAGGCACGAAAGCGUGGGUAGCAAACAGG